CGUUCUAUUGCCGAAUUGGUAAAGGCAUCGUCGAUUACAGACGAGGGUGCAGGUUCGAGUCCCGCUGGAGUGA
rnacentral:tRNA from 1 species